AUUGAACGCUGGCGGCAGGCCUAACACAUGCAAGUCGAGCGGAUGAAGGGAGCUUGCUCCUGGAUUCAGCGGCGGACGGGUGAGUAAUGCCUAGGAAUCUGCCUGGUAGUGGGGGAUAACGUCCGGAAACGGGCGCUAAUACCGCAUACGUCCUGAGGGAGAAAGUGGGGAAUCUUCGGACCUCACGCUAUCAGAUGAGCCUAGGUCGGAUUAGCUAGUUGGUGGGGUAAAGGCCUACCAAGGCGACGAUCCGUAACUGGUCUGAGAGGAUGAUCAGUCACACUGGAACUGAGACACGGUCCAGACUCCUACGGGAGGCAGCAGUGGGGAAUAUUGGACAAAGGGCGAAAGCCUGAUCCAGCCAUGCCGCGUGUGUGAAGAAGGUCUUCGGAUUGUAAAGCACUUUAAGUUGGGAGGAAGUGCAGUAAGUUAAUACCUUGCUGUUUUGACGUUACCAACAGAAUAAGCACCGGCUAACUUCGUG
rnacentral:rRNA from 1 species